AUAUCUUGCACAUAGUCGCUUGAAGAAGGGGAAAACUGAGUCAUUUUCUCUAAAGGUUCGUCAAAAACUACCUUGAAUAUCAAAAGCGAAUUUACAGAAAUGAAGUGAUUUCGGAUACAGUAAACGAUAUUCGUUUUAAGACUGCAGUUUAACAACAUAAUACUUUACGAAUUCAAUAUCAUCGAAACGAAACUAUAAAUGCCAAUACGCGACAAACGUGUAAUGGACAAUAGCGCGAUAAUUGAAAAAUCGAAUUUAAACUAUUGACUCGAAUUAAAAUCUCAAUACGGGCCAACCGGUUGGCCAUUGGGUGCCAUGGCCCACCAUAGGUGCUAUGGUUUAUCACGUUAUUCGACGGUUCGAUAAGUCUUCGGUUAUACUGUCACGAAUAGUGUACCAUCACGUAAAAUCGACGUUUAAAACUAUCGUGUUUAAAAUGUCAAUGUUAUACUCGGGCUCGAUACAAAACGACGCGCGUGUAAGACGAUCAGUUAUAUUGUGUUAAACGUUCGACGUUUAUUUUUAUUAUUUUUAUACAGUUUCGUGGCGUAAUAUUAUUGUUCUGGUUUUCGUUCGUACAGCGGGGAAUGAUUUUUAAUUUUACGAUUAACCUAUAUUGGUUUUGCUAUGACGAUAUAGCGUCUAUUCAGCUGUCUGUCAACGAGUUUGUCGACCACGAGUCUAAUCGGAAAAUGCGAAAAUGGCCCGCGUGCAAAUUUAUCGA